AUUAUCGAAUCGUAGGCGAGGGUUGUCGCUGGCCNCUCGGGGCAUGUGCACGCCCGAGCCCUUGAAUCCCAAACNCCACAUGUGAACCCACCGUAGGCCUUCGGGCCUAUGUCUUAUCAUAUAAUCCGAAUGUCUAAUAGAAUGUAAACCCAUUUCGUUGCCUUGAAAACGUAACGAAAGAAAACUAUACAACUUUCAACAACGGAUCUCUUGGCUCUCGCAUCGAUGAAGAACGCAGCGAAAUGCGAUAAGUAAUGUGAAUUGCAGAUUUUCAGUGAAUCAUCGAAUCUUUGAACGCACCUUGCGCCCCUUGGUAUUCCGAGGGGCAUGCCUGUUUGAGUGUCAUUAAAUCCUCAACCCCUCCGAUUCGUUUCGGUGGGGAUUGGACUUGGAGCGUGCUGGCGAAGGUCGGCUCCUCUUUAAAUGCAUCAGCGGANAAAAUGCCUUUUGCGCCUCUGGCCGUUCAGCGUGAUAAUGAUGUUGCGCUGCGGUCGAGCUUAAGGUCCGCUUCCAAAGGUCCUCGGACAAAUAUACAUAUGACUUUUGACCUCAAAUCANGNAGGACUACCCGCUGAACUUAAGCAUAUCAAUAAGCGGAGGAAAAGAAACUAACAAGGAUUCCCCUAGUAACUGCGAGUGAAGCGGGAAAAGCUCAAAUUUAAAAUCUGGC
rnacentral:rRNA from 1 species